UGGGGAAUUUUGGACAAUGGGGGAAACCCUGAUCCAGCCAUCCCGCGUGUGCGAUGAAGGCCUUCGGGUUGUAAAGCACUUUUGGCAGGAAAGAAACGUCAUGGGUUAAUACCCCGUGAAACUGACGGUACCUGCAGAAUAAGCACCGGCUAACUACGUGCCAGCAGCCGCGGUAAUACGUAGGGUGCAAGCGUUAAUCGGAAUUACUGGGCGUAAAGCGUGCGCAGGCGGUUCGGAAAGAAAGAUGUGAAAUCCCAGAGCUCAACUUUGGAACUGCCUUUUUAACUACCGGGCUUGAGUGUGUCAGAGGGGGGUGGAAUUCCGCGUUUAGCAGUGAAAUGCGUAGAUAUGCGGAGGAACACCGAUGGCGAAGGCAGCCUCCUGGGAUAACACUGACGCUCAUGCACGAAAGCGUGGGGAGCUAACGGG
rnacentral:rRNA from 1 species